AGAGUUUGAUCCUGGCUCAGGACGAACGCUGGCGGCGUGCUUAACACAUGCAAGUCGAGCGGUAAGGCUCCUUCGGGAGUACACGAGCGGCGAACGGGUGAGUAACACGUGAGCAAUCUGCCCUUCACAUGGGAAUAACUUCCGGAAACGGAAGCUAAUACCGAAUACAACCACCGACGGCAUCGUCUGGUGGUGGAAAGUUCCGGCGGUGAAGGAUGAGCUCGCGGCCUAUCAGCUUGUUGGUGGGGUAACGGCCUACCAAGGCGACGACGGGUAGCCGGCCUGAGAGGGUGACCGGCCACACUGGGACUGAGACACGGCCCAGACUCCUACGGGAGGCAGCAGUGGGGAAUAUUGGACAAUGGGCGAAAGCCUGAUCCAGCAACGCCGCGUGAGGGAUGACGGCCUUCGGGUUGUAAACCUCUUUCAGCAGGGACGAAGCGAAAGUGACGGUACCUGCAGAAGAAGCACCGGCCAACUACGUGCCAGCAGCCGCGGUA
rnacentral:rRNA from 1 species